GAUGAACGCUGGCGGCGUGCCUAAUACAUGCAAGUCGAGCGAACAGACGAGGAGCUUGCUCCUCUGACGUUAGCGGCGGACGGGUGAGUAACACGUGGAUAACCUACCUAUAAGACUGGGAUAACUUCGGGAAACCGGAGCUAAUACCGGAUAAUAUAUUGAACCGCAUGGUUCAAUAGUGAAAGACGGUUUUGCUGUCACUUAUAGAUGGAUCCGCGCCGCAUUAGCUAGUUGGUAAGGUAACGGCUUACCAAGGCAACGAUGCGUAGCCGACCUGAGAGGGUGAUCGGCCACACUGGAGCUGAGACACGGUCCGGACUCCUACGGGAGGCAGCAGUAGGGAAUCUUCCGCAAUGGGCGAAAGCCUGACGGAGCAACGCCGCGUGAGUGAUGAAGGUCUUCGGAUCGUAAAACUCUGUUAUUAGGGAAGAACAAAUGUGUAAGUAACUAUGCACGUCUUGACGGUACCUAAUCAGAAAGCCACGGCUAACUACGUG
rnacentral:rRNA from 1 species